UAGGGCCUAAAGCAUCCGUAGCCUGCUCUGUAAGUUUUCGGUUAAAUCUGUAUGCUUAACAUACAGGCCGCCGGAAAUACUGCAGGGCUAGGGAGUGGGAGAGGUAGACGGUACUCGGGAGGAAGUGGUAAAAUGCUUUGAUCUUUCGAUGACCACCUGUGGCGAAGGCGGUCUACCAGAACACGUCCGACGGUGAGGGAUGAAAGCUGGGGGAGCAAACCGGAUUAGAUACCCGGGUAGUCCCAGCCGUAAACUAUGCAAACUCAGUGAUGCAUUGGCUUGUGGCCAAUGCAGUGUUGCAGGGAAGCCGUUAAGUUUGCCGCCUGGGAAGUACGUACGCAAGUAUG
rnacentral:rRNA from 2 species